UGCAGUUCCUGUCUCGGGUGGAUGUCCAACGAAGCUGCCACAGUUGCUGGGAUACCGCCAGGAGGAGAGCCAUUGACACCAGACAAGCGUCUCUCAAUGUGAGUUCGAGUCGCAAAGCGAGACUCCAAUGUGUGUUUAUAUAGUGGAGGCUGCGCUGCGGGCAAACGUCCAGGACUCUAGCUGCUCCCCCCACUCCGAGGCGGGGUGAAAAGUCUAAACGGGCCGGGCGCUGGAGCGUGCGGGACCUGGACUCCGGCCCAAAAGAGAGAGAGAGA